AACACAAGAGCUAAUAAAAAUGGAUCGCGUUUUCACAGCAUCCAUUAUGUUAAAUGUUUGAGUAUUCUUUGGGAAUCUUAUAAAUCCCAAUUCUAGCUUUUCUAAAAAUGACUAAGAUGAACGACAAGACUCGUCUUUAGCUGCAAUCGAUUCCAACGAGAAAGGGAGGGAUUGGAUGUGGAUGUGCGAAGAUUCGCCAGUCCACAAAAUUUGGAUUAUGUUAAGUUUCGAGGCAGAAAGUUGAAGAAAGGCCUCUCGAAGCAGUACGAACCCUCGACCGGUGCUUUCGAAGGUUUGGACGUUUUUGAAAAUAGCAUCAAGCCUGCUUAUAGAAAAGCUGUGAUGAAGGUUCGACCAAUCUGUCAGACGGCCUGCCAACGUUUUAACAGUGAGAGAUUGGUCGAAGAUGUGGAGGAUGAUGGAGUGAACAAUAGAGAGAUUCCUCCACGAAGCAACAAAGAGAACGAAGACUCGGAAGAGCACGAAGAUUGCGUGCAAGAUAAUCUUGGCCAUUCCAGGGGUAGAAAUACAUUGAAGAAAGUCGGGUCGUUCUUUAAGAGCAUGUGGAAACCCGUUAAGAGAUCCGUGCAGAAGGUGUGUAAAAUGGCGAGAAGUGGAGAAUGCGAGUACGUUCGGUUCGAGUAAGGAUCUCUUUGCUUCCAACUGUCAAAUUCGACAAUAAGAUCUGCUCUGUGAUUUGCUGGAUCUGGGCAGAGUUGGCUAAUUAUAUGGUUUUUUCUGCAAACCAUCGAUGACUUCUCCUGAUUUUGACAUCCCGAUUGCGUCAAUGCCAAGUUCGAUUAUGACUUCCCAAUUUUGACUUUAUCCCGGCUGUGUCUCCUUAUUAUUGUCUUUUAGUCAAUUAUCAUUUACCCGAAUUGGUCUACACGAAUUUGGACUCCCGAUUUAUGUCUACUUCACGAAUCUGGACUCUCCCGAAUUACGUCUACCCCGAAUUUGACUCCUCAAUUGUGCCUGUACUCGAAUUGGACUCUCCCGAAUUGUGUCAAACCCGGAUUUGACUCAUGAAUGGUGUCUGCACUCGAAUAUGGACGCUCCCGAAUUACGUCUACCCCUAAUUUGAUUCAUAAAUGGUGUCUAAACUCGAAUCUGGACUCACCCGAAUUACGUCUAUCUCGAAUUUGACUUCAGAAUCCUCUCUAUAUUGAAAUUUGGACUCUUCCGGCUUGUGUCUGUGCUCAAAUUUGACUCCCAAUUUUUGUUAUUCCUGGAACUUGGACUCUCCGGAAUUGUGUUUUAAUUUGUUAUUGGAACGACACGCUCAACAAAUUGAUAUUUGUUAUUCAGACACUAGUAAAAGGAUUAAUUGCAAAACAAAUUUUUUAUACAUAAAACGUUUGAUAAAUUAAUUGAUUAUUAAUAUAUUAAUUAAUAAUUUUAAUCUCAAUUAUAAAUUGUUGUAUAUUUAUAUUUGUAAAACAUUAAUAGUAAUUGUUACGGCCUAAUUAAGGCAUCCAAGCGAUAGUCGAGA
rnacentral:misc_RNA from 1 species